GAUUCCCUGAGUAGCGGCGAGCGAAACGGGACCAGCCCAAACCAAGAGGCUUGCCUCUUGGGGUUGUAGGACACUCUGUACGGAGUUACAAAGGAACGAGGUAGAUGAAGAGGUCUGGAAAGGCCCGCCAUAGGAGGUAACAGCCCUGUAGUCAAAACUUCGUUCUCUCCUGAGUGGAUCCUGAGUACGGCGGAACACGUGAAAUUCCGUCGGAAUCCGGGAGGACCAUCUCCCAAGGCUAAAUACUCCCUAGUGACCGAUAGUGAACCAGUACCGUGAGGGAAAGGUGAAAAGCACCCCGGAAGGGGAGUGAAAGAGAUCCUGAAACCGUGUGCCUACAAGUAGUCAGAGCCCGUUAACGGGUGAUGGCGUGCCUUUUGUAGAAUGAACCGGCGAGUUACGAUCCCGUGCAAGGUUAAGCAGAAGAUGCGGAGCCGCAGCGAAAGCGAGUCUGA
rnacentral:rRNA from 2 species